GGCCGAUUGGUCUAGGGGGAUGAUUCCUCGUUAGGGUCGAGGAGGUCCCGGGUUCAAUUCCCGGAUCGGCCC
rnacentral:tRNA from 1 species